CCUUUCCACAGGGGCCCUAUUUGUGGAGCGUCCACUCGGUAUCAGGGACUGUGUGGUACUUGCGGCCAUCCCUGGACGUUAAAACUAAGCGGUGGGAAGCUGCCCCUGGGAUUGGUGGUUACUGCCCUUCCACACCUUCCAAUUUAGCUGCGUCAGGGGACGGCAAUCCCCUCCCUCCCCACCGUUGGAGAUUUUACCCAGAAUCGUGGAGGCCGAAAGAAGCCUGAUGGAGCAAGGCUGCCCCGGGCUGCAGACUCCAUCCCAGAGCCCUGCCUGCCCCCCACACCCCGAAAUUCGGAGCAGCCUGGCCCCAGCAUCUAAGAAUUUCAUCUGUCUCCAUAUCACAAGGAAUAUCUUCCAAAUUUCCGGGGGAACCUUCAAGAAGCUCCAAAGUUACUAUUAAAAGCUCACAUCGGUGGGACACGUGCAAGAGGACUUGAUAUCGGGUCCUGGCACCCGCCACAGUUUGCCUGGCUCUGAUGGACUUGGAGAGCCCAAGGGCUUCUUGGACUAUUUUGCUGAGCCCUUCUAGGUGGAGUAACUAAAACUUGGUCAAAUGAACUUCUUGGGGGGUGGGUGGAGGUGGGGGACCCUUGUGUGACAGGCCAGUGUCUAAUGUCCCCAGAGCGGGGAGGUGUGAGGAGGAAGCCCGUCUCCCCAAAAGGAAGGCACAUACAAGGUCGCGGCAACAAGAUUAAGUUCUGGAGAGCACCGACCAACAAGAUUUCCUCCUAUGAAUAUGCUUUAAUUUCCUGGAUGUUUUUCCAAGAAAAAUGGUAUUGGUGGCCAUUUGAAAUUCUCCCUCUUAAAUGUUGUCACUUUAACUUUUCCAACCUUUAGUAAAG